GUUAUGUCUAAGGAUGGAGUAAGUUUUUAUGUUUUGCAGGUCUCAACCUCCCCUGCUUCAAAAGGUUAAACAUUAGGUUGCCUAAGGUAUCGUGCCCAUCGAGCGUGGAUAAGGUCGGCUGAUGGCAGGCAUUGGAAGGAUUUUUUAUGACGAGGGGGGAGGUGAGAAGAAGUGGUGAUUAGGAACCACUGGAUGUUUAUUGGCAAGGACGGUUGGGUCUCUGCAUAG